rnacentral:tRNA from 1 species
UCAAGUCCUGUUUUUCUAA